AGACACAAAAAUGGGUUGUUUCACAGUUUUAAAAUGUAAGAAGAAGAAGUCCGAACAGAGUAUCCACAUCAAACGUGUGAAUCCUCAGGAGCAUUCUCCUACUGCAUUGCCCGUGCCCCAAGUGCAGACACGGUCAUUGCAGUCAGCACCUCCAAGUUUUAGAACUAGAGUAAAAUCUAUACAGUCGAAUAACAGAGUUACAAGCAGUAGGACACGGGCACUCUCAGCCCCAUCUAGCCUGGACGCAACAGAACAAAAUGCUCUAGCAUCAAAUGAAUGCGAGGAACAGGACGAGUUCAGGAGUCGUGUUGGUUCAAUCAAGGAAUACCAAUCACCAAGUCCUCAGCCUCUUCCCCUUCCAUCUCCACAGAGUGCUGCCACUCUCAAAACUAUGGGAAGCUUUAAAGUUGGCAAUGCCAGCGGUCCGCUAAAUGUCUCUGGACCGCUGCCGCUGCCUCCUACUCUGCCUUCAACAUUGCCUUCUACUGGAGCACUCAGGAACUUCUCAUUUGAAGAAGUUGCUGCUGCCUUCGUCUAUCGCAACAGAUGAACGAUCUGUUAGAUUGUUCAUCUGUUGCAUCAGAUUUCAUACUUGCAUCAGAUUUUAAUCUGGUGCAUCAGAUAUUUUCAUCAGUUGUAUCAGAUGUCUUCAUCUGUUGUAUCAGAUAUUUCAUCUGUUGCAACACUAUUUUUACCCAAACAAACAACAAAUCAACCCAGCAACACCAACACAUCAUACACACACACUAAGAAGGGGUCUCCACUAAGAACAUCAACUGUGAACAAAAAUCACCAACAAAUUCGAAUCAACAGUACGACAACAACAAGAAGAAAUGCCAGAAAUUAGGGUUUUAUUUAGUCCAUAUUUCAAUACUAGAAGAGUAGUUAGCUCAAGUUCCUCUGUUUCUUCGUAAUAUUUUACCUGUGAAAAAAGAAAUGAGACGACGAAGAACUCGAAAUUAUUGUCGCCGGAAAAGUCUUCACAUUAAUUGACGGUUGAAAGUCGAAAGGGAACUCGCUCGACUAUUUUUCAUUGGAGAUUGAAGUCACCGGAGAUUGAAGGGAGAAUUUUGCAGAACUGUUGGUUUGGAGAGAAUUGAGAGAAGUUAUCGAGAGAAAGGAAAAAGACUGAUUGAUUUGGAUUGAAGAAGAAUGUGAAUUGAUUUAUAUUUUUAAAAAAAUUAAAAAAUUUUUAAAAUAUUAAUUAAAUCUAUAAUUAACUUGAUUAAAUUUUCUAAUGAUACUGAUCCUUUAAAUUAAUCAAUGUUACCAAUGUUUCAUUCAAUACUUAAAACACACCUUUCCUUCUCGAGUGUCUUUUGUGAUGUGGUAUGUGGAGAUAACAAUAAAGGGGCAUUUACCCAUACUCGGGUUUUGGUUGGUUUUGAGUGUUUGACUAUUGCUUCUUGUACUCCAUUUCUAUGAACUCUCUUCUCUGUCUCUCUCUCUCAAAAAUAAAUCUGCCGUUCCUCAUUUGUUUUCAUUUGACUCGUCUUUAGGGUUUCUUAGCUAAUCAAGUCAUCAACAGAUUUCGAAAUUCCAUUACUUGGGGUUUAUUCUAACCUCAAAAAAUCAGUAAAAAGUUCGAAACAUUAAGCUUAGAGCAGCUCAAACAUCAACCAAUACAAUUUACUGUGUGGCAUUUUUUCAAGGUUCGCUUUUUCAUUCUUCUUUUGUUCUCAGUUCUGUGAAUUGAUAAUUCAGUUAGAUAUUCUGAAUCCUUGUCGUUGCCUGAGAUCUUUGUGUUGGCUGUUUAGAUUGGUUUAUCAUUAUUUCUGCUUUUUCAAAAAAAAAAGAAAAAAAAAAAGAACUUUCUAUUGGAUCAUCCCAUUCAAUUUGAAUGUCAUAUUCAGAAGAACAAUUUUGGCCUUUAUCUUAUUUGAAAAUUCAACAAUUCUUAUAUUAAAUGCCAGUACAUCUUAAUUAUUGAUUUAUCACCUUAUGUUUUGUUGAAAUUUAGAUAAUUUUAUUUAUUUAAUUAUCCGUUUGUUCUCUUGCUGAUUUUGUGCUUCUCGUGUGUUUGAAACCUAGGAACUUAUAACUGCUAACAGUUGACUAUUUAAUUCUGUAUCGUUGAAAUUGGGAAAAGCAUAUUUAUUUAUAUACCCUACUUCAGACAAAAUAAUCACUCUCUGUGGUAAAUUCAAUGAUACAAUUCUAUUAUAUUGGAUUUAUGUAGUAGUCUAGAUUUGAUCAUUUGUAACACAAUGAUGUUAAAAUAGAAAUUGAGUUGUGUUAUAUUUCACAAUGGAAUCAUGAGUAUUUUUAUCAUACACUGAUUUGGCAGGACUGUAUAAGCCAGUGUAGACACAAAAAUGGGUUGUUUCACAGUUUUAAAAUGUAAGAAGAAGAAGUCCGAACAGAGUAUCCACAUCAAACGUGUGAAUCCUCAGGAGCAUUCUCCUACUGCAUUGCCCGUGCCCCAAGUGCAGACACGGUCAUUGCAGUCAGCACCUCCAAGUUUUAGAACUAGAGUAAAAUCUAUACAGUCGAAUAACAGAGUUACAAGCAGUAGGACACGGGCACUCUCAGCCCCAUCUAGCCUGGACGCAACAGAACAAAAUGCUCUAGCAUCAAAUGAAUGCGAGGAACAGGACGAGUUC
rnacentral:lncRNA from 1 species